UAUUGCACAAUGGGGGAAACCCUGAUGCAGCAACGCCGCGUGAAGGAAGAAGGGUUUCGGCUCGUAAACUUCUAUCGAUAGGGACGAAAGAGAUGACGGUACCUAAAUAAGAAGCCCCGGCUAACUACGUGCCAGCAGCCGCGGUAAUACGUAGGGGGCAAGCGUUAUCCGGAAUUACUGGGUGUAAAGGGAGCGUAGGCGGCAAGGUAAGUAAGAUGUGAAAGCCCGCAGCUUAACUGCGAGGAUUGCAUUUUAAACUAUCUAGCUUGAGUACAGGAGAGGUAAGCGGAAUUCCUAGUGUAGCGGUGAAAUGCGUAGAUAUUAGGAAGAACACCAGUGGCGAAGGCGGCUUACUGGACUGUAACUGACGCUGAGGCUCGAAAGCGUGGGGAGCGAACAG
rnacentral:rRNA from 1 species